rnacentral:hammerhead_ribozyme from 1 species
AUUCAGCUGACAAAGCCCAAAUAGGACGAAAUGCGUGUCCAGAAU